rnacentral:rRNA from 1 species
GUCCUAGCCGUAAACGUUGGGUGCUAGGUGUGGGCGGUUAUCAACCCCGUCCGUGCCGUAGCUAACGCAUUAAGCACCCCGCCUGGGGAGUACGGCCGCAAGGCUAAAACUCAAAGGAAUUGACGGGGGCCCGCACAAGCGGCGGAGCAUGUGGCUUAAUUCGACGCAACGCGAAGAACCUUACCUGGGCUUGACAUGCGGGGUAAAGCCGUGGAAACACGGUGCUCUACGGAGCCCGCACAGGUGGUGCAUGGCUGUCGU